UACGAAGGGGACUAGCGUUGUUCGGAAUCACUGGGCGUAAAGCGCACGUAGGCGGAUAUGUCAGUCAGGGGGUGAAAUCCCGGGGCUCAACCUCGGAACUGCCUUUGAUACAGCAUAUCUUGAGUCCGAUAGAGGUGGGUGGAAUUCCUAGUGUAGAGGUGAAAAUUCGUAGAUAUUUAGGAAGAACACCGGUGGCGAAGGCGGCCCACUGGAUCGGUACUGACGCUAGGUGCGAA
rnacentral:rRNA from 1 species